rnacentral:rRNA from 1 species
CAGACUGGAGACAUCAUUAGGGCAUCUUGCUCAAUGGGGGAAACCCUGAAGCAGCAACUUCGCGUGGAGUCUUCCUUUUUUCUUCUUUUCCCCUCCUUUUUUUCUCUCCUCUCAUUACUUUAUCUACCGAAUAAGCACCGGCUAACUCCGUGCCAGCAGCCGCGGUAAUACGGAGGGUGCACUCGUUACUCUGACUCACUGGUCGUAAAGAGCGCGUAGGCGGGAUAGCAAGUCAGAUGUGAAAUCCUAUGGCUUAACCAUAGAACUGCAUUUGAAACUGUUAUUCUAGAGUAUGGGAGAGGUAGGUGGAAUUCUUGGUGUAGGGGUAAAAUCCGUAGAGAUCAAGAGGAAUACUCAUUGCGAAGGCGACCUGCUAGAACAUAACUGACGCUGAUGCGCGAAAGCGUGGGGAGCAAACAGGAUUAGAGAAAAAGGUAGUC